GGCACCGCCGGGUCCGCGGAGAGGGGCGAAGCCUGGAAGAUGGUAACGCGGGGACAAAAUCAAUAGCUGCCAGCCAGACGUAGGGCUUCCCACAAUGCACUCGGAAAAAAAGCUGUGUCUGAAAAGGAGAGUUGCAUCAUCAGGCAAAGAAGGGAUGAACUGUGCUACACAAGCAGACACACAGCCAGAAUAGUUAGGGUAGCAACUUAAGAGAAUUCGUGAACUGCACACACAAACUUGAAGGCGCAAAGGCAGGGGAGUGGGGAGGCUGAUUAGCAGAGCAUGGCCUCUGCACAAAGAACAGGCAAAUCAAUACAUGUAGGAAGAGCUAAAUUAUCACCACGCAUGUUACUGUAAAACAAGGGGAAUGUAUCAGGGCUGGGUAAAGAAAGAAGCUGACGUUUACUGAAAUAAGCAACAGACAGCAUGGGGAGAAAAGGAAAAUGGUAAUAGGGUGAAAUACAUGAAAUAUUUAUCAUAUCUAGCAAGGCACAAAACAGAUUAUAAUCUCAGAAGCAAAGAAAUGAAAUGCUCGAAAAUGAGUACAGUGUUACAUAAUGCUGUUAGUCAAAGCAGAGAAGUGGAGGUGGAAUGCAUAGUAAACGUGAAAAGUUGUACAGAUGUUGCAUGUCCUGAAAAGGGUUACUAAGACUGCUACCGAGAGUGCUGAAAGGGAAAAAAAACAACAACAAGAAACAGGUUUCACAAAGAAAAACAAGGGAAAAUGUCGACGACACCUUCCGUAAUACGCGAUCAAGGGAUAAAUGCCUCAUGGUUGUUUAUUUAGAAACCGAUGUUUUUCCAAGACGGUAGAUUGAAUGUUAUUCAGUCCCUCCAAAAUAAUAAAUAAAAAUAAUAAUGAAAAAAGAAACAAAGAAUAAUUAUUUCCCGAUAUAUCUGAGCCUUUGGAAGAAAGAUAGUGUUAACUUGAAGAAUUAAAACUUCACGAGCACAAUGGAAAGUAUCAGCAUUGUAUCAGUUUUGAUCUGUUCCAGGAAAGCCUGGUACAGUCAUCUUCAGCAGCAGCAGCAGCAGCACCAACCACGGAAGAAGAAAAACAUGAAAGCAGAGGGGGUUUGGGAUGGGCGACUGCUGCCUGCGGUGCGAUGGACAGAAAGGGCAGUGAGGGAAAUUGGAGAGAUGCAGAGCUGGUUAGAAUGGAGCAGAUAUUUAAAAAUAAUGAUUUGGAACAAGAUUAGGGACUCGAGCACCACCCUACAAAAGUGAUUACCGGAUACGACAAUGACAACAGCCAAGAAAACAAAAAGAUUAGAAUCUGCUCUAAAGUAACUUCUGCUUUGGUGUCACAAACCAUUCCCUUCAUGGUCAAAAAGCCCUUAAAAUGUUCAGCGUUAAACAAAGUGAUUAAUCUAAAAAGCAGAGACGGUGAAUUAAAGGAGCAGGGAGAUAACAAUCUGAUAAUACAGGAGCACAGAAGGCCUAAUAAUGAUAUUAUUAUGCACACUAACCAAACACUGACAAACAAAUAUUCUGUUAAUUAUAUAAUCAUGCAUAUGCUUCCUAUGCUUGAGAUAAAUGAUUACAGAAAAUCGCUCUCUUCUUGAAACUGCAUAUAUGUGCUAAGCCCUGUAGACUCCCUGCAACACGGAUUAAUUUAAUUUCUGCAUAUCACCUAUGUCUGGGAAAGUUAUUUGCCGCAGACUUGGCAGGCGGAGCGUGGAAUGCGGGCUUUGACCAGCAGGCAUGGGUAACUGAGGGCUGCUGCGUCCUGACGUACAGGCAGCAAUCAGAUCUCUCUUAUCAAUACCCAACUACUUGGAAUAAACUCAAGAUAAAGAUAUCUGAUUUUCAUUUGACCUAUUCCAAUUUACACUUCACUGUGUCAACUUUGAUAUUAAAAUGUUCCACUAGAAUAUAUUUAUAAUAAAAACAUAUAUAAAGAAGAGAAGAUGAAUAGAUAUUGUCAUGGAUACGUAUGAAGGCAAUCAUUUAAACAUGCAGCAAGAGUAACAUCACAUUUUUCAUAGCUUCUAGUCAACAAACAGUGGACAAAUAUAUGCUUAAUAAAGCUUAUUAAUCCUUAAUUAAGUUGCUGCACUGUAUGUCUGAUACGUAAAUGCAUCUCACCCCAGGUUAUGCUGAAAUAAGACAAAUAGUUAAAAAAGUUGGACUGCUUUUCUUCAACCCCACAAUGAAUUAACUCUUGAGCAGCAGUCUCAGUGGCUGCAAAACAAUACAAGUUCUCUGCUGUGGCAUGGUGCCUCGGUGCCUUCUAAGGUCUCUAUUCCAAUCUUUUCUUGUUUAAAAUAAAUAAGGAAAUAUGGGCCCAAGUCUUGAGGCUUGGCUCUUGUGCAAGGCGAACAGAAAGGACCUGGCAGCAGAGCAAAACCAGUAUGGCUGUGCAUUCUCUUUUAUCAGAUUUCUUUGGGGAGAUCAGGCUGAUUGGGUUUUGCACGUACGUAUUUCUGACAACUCUGCGGCCAUUUGGGUAAUUCAUCAGCUCCAGCCCAUGCUGGAGGUGAUGCAGAGAAGUGCUGUAGCAGCAGGGCCAUCAAGAAAUUCACUUUGCUGAGGAUUUGAACAGUAUUUUCCCCACUGCGAGGGGACAUCUGUGGGUAGCAGUGACUGCUGGACAGCAAGGUGGUAAAAAUAACAGUCCCUGGCUUUCUGAGGGUGUGGUAGUUUGCACCCUAGCGGUUUGCACUUAUUGCUACAUGGGUAGACAGAGGUAUUAAGGGUUCUGGUGUAUCCUUGCUUUCCUUUCCCAUGUCUCUCUGUGUAAGCCUCAACACAGUGGUGCUGAGGUGCAGACUGAGUCCUGAAACCCUACCAAGUGUUGCACCUCUGAUGGAAGUUGCUUCUCAGUCUUCUCAGACUGACUUCACCUCUGUCUUGCCCUGACAACACUGAAACCCUCCAGCCAACCUGGCUGUGGCAAUCAUAACUUUCACCCCACCCAAUGUCUCAGUGCACGCCAAUGGGAAUCACAGCACUCAGCCGCAUCCCCCACGCUGAGCUCCCAAGUUACACACCAAACUAGAUUUUUUUUCACUGCAACCUGCCCCAGCCUGGAGAGUAUGCCUGUCAGAAAGCAAAAGUGCUAUGAAAUGAAAUUCAUAGCACCGAGAAGCAUCGCACACAAGCUGUCGUCCCCUCUCACAUUUUGCAUGAGCAAUUUUUGCUCGUUUGUGCUCUCUUACAUACAAUGUCCUGAAACAGUUCUAUAAAAUGGAUAUUUAACUUACAGUAGUCAGCUGUACUGAACUGCACUUAAUUGCUUAUUAAGUGAAGUAAAUUAUCCUUACCAUAUUCGCCAGAGGUGAAAAAUCUACAUAUAUGGCUACAUGUAGUGCAUUCAUUAGUUUACGGACCCCAAAUCCCUUGGAAAGUAUCAGAUAUCUACACAGUGUCCCAUGGUGCAGUAUUUUGUAGUUGGAUGUCUCCGCCAGCUUGCAGAUAUGUAAAAUCAUAUACAAACAGACAUCUCCCUAUUGAUUGCCUAUGUGACGAGGCUCGUUUACUCCUGCAAACAUUUUCUGCAGUGUAUUUCAAUAAUGGAAUUUUGUUUUAAAAGUAGGAUUGAGCAGGAAUAUGCAAAAUGCAGUUUAGGGUAAAACAAAUUGCUUUUAGUCAAACUACUGCAUCAUUUUGCAUAAGCACCUUUCAUAGCUCUGUAUCUAUGUUGACUAAGAUACAACUGAAGUAAAUGCAUACAUUUAUACCAAUGUGGCCCCAACAGUCAUUUUGAUUUGCCCAUUGCUGCUACACAAGUCAAAUUAUUGGAAGAAAAUUAUGGAGGAAAAGCCAACAAAACUGUUGGCAUGGAGAGGAAGUGAAGGGUGAGCUUGACUGCUAAUGAGAAUAGAAAUUCUUCUACCCCUGGCUGUCACGAAGAGUCUACAUGGUUGAAACUGCAGUAGGCAGGUGUCCACAUUCCCAUAAAAGAUUACAGGGAUGAAUAUUAAUGGCUUAAUCACAUAACUCUUACUCUGUAGUUGCGCAAUCUUUACCUCCUCUGUGGAUAAGCUGAGUUCACUCCCCAAGUAUAUCAGCACUGCAACUUCCACAAACACUAACAGCAUGGUAUUUAAUAUAAGACAAUAUUUUUAUGACUGUGGAUUUCCAAACUCCCUCAAAUAACAAGCUUCAAUUAUUAUUUUUUUAAAAGCAUUUUCUAGACCAUAUCCUCUUCCAUCCAUAACAGUAGAGUAGAUCCUUGAUGAGUCAUGCUUGUAAUUUCCAUGUGGCAACUACAGCAAACUACUUCCACACAGAAACAGCAACCAAAAAAA
ensembl:lncRNA